rfam:Toxocara canis scaffold246, whole genome shotgun sequence.
GCGGCAGUGGCUCAGUGGUAGAGCCCCGCUUCGCGGGUGGGAGACCCGGGUUCGAUUCCAGGCUGCUUCC